rnacentral:rRNA from 1 species
CAGCGCCGCGGUAAUACGAAGGGUGCAAGCGUUAAUCGGAAUUACUGGGCGUAAAGCGUGCGUAGGCGGUUUGUUAAGUCUGCUGUGAAAUCCCCGGGCUCAACCUGGGAAUGGCAGUGGAUACUGGCAAGCUAGAGUGUGUCAGAGGAUGGUGGAAUUCCCGGUGUAGCGGUGAAAUGCGUAGAGAUCGGGAGGAACAUCAGUGGCGAAGGCGGCCAUCUGGGACAACACUGACGCUGAGGCACGAAAGCGUGGGGAGCAAACAGGAUUAGAUACCCCAGUAGUCCCUGUCUCUUAUACA